GGAGAGAUGGCAGAGUGGCCGAAUGCACCGGUCUUGAAAACCGGAGUGCCAGCAAUGGUACCGGGGGUUCGAAUCCCCCUCUCUCCG
rnacentral:tRNA from 1 species